rnacentral:pre_miRNA from 1 species
AAAUUACUCCCUCCGUCCCAAAAUUCUUUUCUUAGAUUUGUCUAGAUACGGAUGUAUCAAGUCACAUUUUAGUAUUAGAUACAUCUGUAUCUAGACAAAUCUAAGACAAGAAAUUUGGGACAGAGGGAGUAGUUG